UACGAAGGGUGCAAGCGUUACUCGGAAUUACUGGGCUUAAAGCGUGCGUAGGCGGUUCGGUAAGUCUGAUGUGAAAGCCCUGGGCUCAACCUGGGGAUGGCAUUGGAUACUGGCGGCCUAGAGUGCGGUAGAGGGGUGUGGAAUUCCGCGUGUAGCAGUGAAAUGCGUAGAUAUGCGGAGGAACACCGAUGGCGAAGGCAAUCCCCUGGACCUGUACUGACGCUCAUGCACGAAAGCGUGGGGAGCAAACAGG
rnacentral:rRNA from 1 species